rnacentral:rRNA from 1 species
UAGGGAAUCUUCCGCAAUGGGCGAAAGCCUGACGGAGCAACGCCGCGUGAGUGAUGAAGGUCUUCGGAUCGUAAAACUCUGUUAUUAGGGAAGAACAAAUGUGUAAGUAACUAUGCACGUCUUGACGGUACCUAAUCAGAAAGCCACGGCUAAUUACGUGCCAGCAGCCGUGGUAAUACGUAGGUGGCAAGCGUUAUCCGGAAUUAUUGGGCGUAAAGCGCGCGUAGGCGGUUAUUUAAGUCUGAUGUGAAAGCCCACGGCUCAACCGUGGAGAGUCAUUGGAAACUGGAAAACUUGAGUGCAGAAGAGGAAAGUGGAAUUCCAUGUGUAGCGGUGAAAUGCGCAGAGAUAUGGAGGAACACCAGUGGCGAAGGCGACUUACUGGUCUGUAACUGACGCUGAUGUGCGAAAGCGUGGGGAUCAAACAGG